ACAUCUUUGCUAUUGUGAAUAGUGCUGCAAUAAGCAUAUGUGUGCAUAUGUUGUUAUAGUAGAGUGAUUUAUAAUCCUUUGGGUAUAUACCCAGUAAUGGGAUUGCUGGGUCAAAUGGAAUUUCUGGUUCUAGAUCCUUGAGGCAUCACCGCACUGUCUUUCACAAUGGUUGAACUAAUUUACACUCCCACCAACAGUGUAAAAUUACACUAAUAGAAAAAUCCAGUUUUGCUUUCCUUUCUGAAAUGUCACUAAAUAAUAACCAACAUUUUUUUUUGAAAUAUAGCAAAUGGGGCAAGGAAGUGUGAAACCGGAACUCUAAGUAUGAAUUUACUGAAAUUUACCGAAAGGAUAUUCAGGUUUUCCAUCAAGGUAUUGAAUAGAAACGGCGAGAAGAAACAUCUGGCCUCCAUCUCUAGUCAUAAGGAGACAACAUUUAGCCUCUUACUAAUAGGUGCCCUGUGCUUUCCAGACCUUGAGUCAGAGAGUCUGCUGAGCAGUCAUCAAGGGUCCCCUUCCCUGAAUCAUGGCAUGGAACUCUUUUAAGGUGGGAAAAAUUAAGGGUUCACCUUGUUUUUCAUUUCUCAGAGUUGUUUUUUAUUGCUUUUAUACCUAGUGCCUUGAAAAUUGUUUUUUCUUGUCAUCUUUUUGUUGCUGUUGAAAUUCAAUCCUUUUUAUAACAUCUUGGCUAUAUGCAGAACUAUCUACCUUGGUUCUAAGAGCUUAGUCACCUGUCAAUUUUAGAAUGACAGAUGACAAAACCCCUUCUCCAUCAGUCAGACUCAUAUAUCUACCUGCCUACUUAAUAUCUCCAAUUGAAUGCCCAAAAGAUUUUCAAACUCAACAGGUGAUUUUGAUUCCUAG
rnacentral:lncRNA from 1 species